rnacentral:rRNA from 1 species
CAGCCUGCCCAGUGACUACGGGUUCAACGGCCGCGGUAUUUUGACCGUGCAAAGGUAGCGCAAUCACUUGUCUCUUAAAUAGAGACCUGUAUGAAUGGCUAGACGAGGGCUUAACUGUCUCCCCCCUUCAGUCAGUGAAAUUGAUCUAUCCGUGCAGAAGCGGGUAUAAUUAUACAAGACGAGAAGACCCUUUGGAGCUUAAGGUACAAAGUUCAACCACGUUAAACGACUCUACAUAAAGCAAGAACCUAGUGGCGAAUGAAAUUUUACCUUCGGUUGGGGCGACCACGGAGGAGAAAAAAGCCUCCGAGUGGACUGGGCUAAACCCCAAAGCUAAGAGACACAUCUCUAAGCCGCAGAACAUCUGACCAAAAAUGAUCCGACUGAAAAGCCGAUCAACGAACCAAGUUACCCUAGGGAUAACAGCGCAAUCCUCUCCCAGAGUCCAUAUCGACGAGGGGGUUUACGACCUCGAUGUUGGAUCAGGACAUCCUAAUGGUGCAGCCGCUAU